rnacentral:rRNA from 3 species
CAAAGGAGACUGCCAGUGAUAAACUGGAGGAAGGUGGGGAUGACGUCAAGUCAUCAUGGCCCUUACGACCAGGGCUACACACGUGCUACAAUGGCGCAUACAAAGAGAAGCGACCUCGCGAGAGCAAGCGGACCUCAUAAAGUGCGUCGUAGUCCGGAUUGGAGUCUGCAACUCGACUCCAUGAAGUCGGAAUCGCUAGUAAUCGUGGAUCAGAAUGCCACGGUGAAUACGUUCCCGGGCCUUGUACACACCGCCCGUCACACCAUGGGAGUGGGUUGCAAAAGAAGUAGGUAGCUUAACCUUCGGGAGGGCGCUUACCACUUUGUGAUUCAUGACUGGGGUGAAGUCGUAACAAGGUAACCGUAGGGGAACCUGC